CUGUCUGAAUAUGGGGGGACCAUCCUCCAAGGCUAAAUACUCCUGACUGACCGAUAGUGAACCAGUACCGUGAGGGAAAGGCGAAAAGAACCCCGGCGAGGGGAGUGAAAAAGAACCUGAAACCGUGUACGUACAAGCAGUGGGAGCACAGGUUUACCUGUGUGACUGCGUACCUUUUGUAUAAUGGGUCAGCGACUUAUAUUCUGUAGCAAGGUUAACCGUAUAGGGGAGCCGGAGGGAAACCGAGUCUUAAYYGGGCGUUAAGUUGCAGGGUAUAGACCCGAAACCCGGUGAUCUAGCCAUGGGCAGGUUGAAGGUUGGGUAACACUAACUGGAGGACCGAACCGACUAAUGUUGAAAAAUUAGCGGAU
rnacentral:rRNA from 1 species